UCCCCCGUGGUGUAAAGGCAGCACGAGUCACUUUGAAUGAUUCUGUCGAGGUUCGAAUCCUCGCGGGGGAG
rnacentral:tRNA from 1 species